AGAACGAACGCUGGCGGCAUGCCUAACACAUGCAAGUCGAACGAGACCUUCGGGUCUAGUGGCGCACGGGUGCGUAACGCGUGGGAAUCUGCCCUUCGGUUGGGAAUAACACAGAGAAAUUUGUGCUAAUACCUUAUAAUGUCUUCGGACCAAAGAUUUAUCGCCGAGGGAUGAGCCCGCGUAGGAUUAGCUAGUUGGUGGGGUAAUGGCCUACCAAGGCGACGAUCCUUAGCUGGUCUGAGAGGAUGAUCAGCCACACUGGGACUGAGACACGGCCCAGACUCCUACGGGAGGCAGCAGUGGGGAAUAUUGGACAAUGGGCGAAAGCCUGAUCCAGCAAUGCCGCGUGAGUGAUGAAGGCCUUAGGUUGUAAAGCUCUUUUACCAGGGAUGAUAAUGACAGUACCUGGAGAAUAAAGCUCCGGCUAACUCCGUGCCAGUACGCCGC
rnacentral:rRNA from 1 species